GACGAACGCUGGCGGCGUGCUUAACACAUGCAAGUCGAACGGAAAGGCCCUGCUUUUGUGGGGUGCUCGAGUGGCGAACGGGUGAGUAACACGUGAGUAACCUGCCCUUGACUUUGGGGAUAACUUCAGGAAACUGGGGCUAAUACCGGAUAGGAGCUCCUGCUGCAUGGUGGGGGUUGGAAAGUUUCGGCGGUUGGGGAUGGACUCGCGGCUUAUCAGCUUGUUGGUGGGGUAGUGGCUUACCAAGGCUUUGACGGGUAGCCGGCCUGAGAGGGUGACCGGCCACAUUGGGACUGAGAUACGGCCCAGACUCCUACGGGAGGCAGCAGUGGGGAAUAUUGCACAAUGGGCGGAAGCCUGAUGCAGCAACGCCGCGUGCGGGAUGACGGCCUUCGGGUUGUAAACCGCUUUCGCCUGUGACGAAGCGUGAGUGACGGUAAUGGGUAAAGAAGCACCGGCUAACUACGUG
rnacentral:rRNA from 1 species